rnacentral:rRNA from 1 species
UGGGGAAUAUUGCACAAUGGGCGAAAGCCUGAUGCAGCGACGCCGCGUGAGGGAUGACGGCCUUCGGGUUGUAAACCUCUUUCAGUAGGGACGAAGCGCAAGUGACGGUACCUGCAGAAGAAGCACCGGCUAACUACGUGCCAGCAGCCGCGGUAAUACGUAGGGUGCGAGCGUUGUCCGGAAUUACUGGGCGUAAAGAGCUCGUAGGCGGUUUGUCACGUCGUCUGUGAAAUCCUAGGGCUUAACCCUGGACGUGCAGGCGAUACGGGCUGACUUGAGUACUACAGGGGAGACUGGAAUUUCCGGUGUAGCGGUGGAAUGCACAGAUAUCAGGAAGAACACCGAUGGCGAAGGCAGGUCUCUGGGUAGUAACUGACGCUGAGGAGCGAAAGCAUGGGUAGCGAACAGG